UUUUAUUGAAAUAAAAAAGUUCUAACGGAGAGUAAAAUGAUCAACAGCUCUUACACCUUCCCCCUGUUUUUGGAAUGCUUCUAAAGAAAAGUUCAAUAUGAUGGUGAUGACGGAGAGACCUAUAAUGAAGAUAAUAUUAUUUUUAAGUUUAGAUUAUAACCGAGUAAUCUGGUGGUGAGAUGGAGUGAGGAGGGAUGGUUUAAGUGAG